rnacentral:rRNA from 1 species
GACGAACGCUGGCGGCGUGCCUAAUACAUGCAAGUAGAACGCACAGUUUAUACCGUAGCUUGCUACACCAUAGACUGUGAGUUGCGAACGGGUGAGUAACGCGUAGGUAACCUGCCUGGUAGCGGGGGAUAACUAUUGGAAACGAUAGCUAAUACCGCAUAAUAUUAAUUAUUGCAUGAUAAUUAAUUGAAAGGUGCAAUUGCACCACUACCAGAUGGACCUGCGUUGUAUUAGCUAGUAGGUGAGGUAACGGCUCACCUAGGCGACGAUACAUAGCCGACCUGAGAGGGUGAUCGGCCACACUGGGACUGGGACACGGCCCAGACUCCUACGGGAGGCAGCAGUAGGGGAUCUUCGGCAAUGGACGGAAGUCUGACCGAGCAACGCCGCGUGAGUGAAGAAGGUUUUCGGAUCGUAAAGCUCUGUUGUAAGAGAAGAACGGGUGUGAGAGUGGAAAGUUCACACUGUGACGGUAUCUUACCAGAAAGGGACGGCUAACUACGUG